rnacentral:rRNA from 1 species
UACGUAGGGUGCAAGCGUUGUCCGGAUUUAUUGGGUUUAAAGGGUGCGUAGGCGGUUUAAUAAGUCAGUGGUGAAAGACAACAGCUCAACUGUUGAGGUGCCAUUGAUACUGUUAAACUUGAGUACAGACGAGGUAGGCGGAAUUGACAGUGUAGCGGUGAAAUGCAUAGAUAUUGUCAAGAACACCGAUAGCGAAGGCA